AUACGUAGGGGGCGAGCGUUGUCCGGAAUGAUUGGGCGUAAAGGGCGCGUAGGCGGCCCGGUAAGUCUGGAGUGAAAGUCCUGUUUUUAAGAUGGGAAUUGCUUUGGAUACUGUCGGGCUUGAGUGCAGGAGAGGGAAGUGGAAUUCCCAGUGUAGCGGGGAAAUGCGUAGAGAUUGGGAGGAACACCAGUGGCGAAGGCGACUUACUGGACUGUAACUGACGCUGAGGCGCGAAAGUGUGGGGAGCAAACAGGAUUAGAUACCCUGGUAGUCCACACUGUAAACGAUGAAUGCUAGGUGUAGGGGUAUCGACCCCUUCUGUGCCGCAGUCAACACAAUAAGCAUUCCGCCUGGGGAGUACGGCCGCAAGGUUGAAACUCAAAUGAAUUGACGGGG
rnacentral:rRNA from 1 species